UCAACCUGGGAGUACAGAGAGACAUGGGAAAAUGAACAGAAGAAAAAUCUCAGAACGAAUCUUGACCACAAAAAACAAAGAACUAGAGCUCAGGGUGCUUGAUUAGCAACUAUAUGGAGAGAGCAGUUGUAUGGCAGCUCCUUAAAAGCUGUGUCAGAUGAGGAGAUUGCAUACAGGUGUGCUGCCUGCUGCAGCGGCUACUCAGCCGUGCCCUCCUGCAGGGAGCCCCAGUGGAAGAGAGACCUCACUCAAACACACCGGGAUCAUAGCAAACAGGGAUCAGAUCAGUAAAGUUUAGGUGGACUGAACAACAGAGUGUCAUCUGCAUAAAACAUGAUUCGUAUAUUAUGGCUUUGGAGAGGAUGCCCAAGAAAAGUGACAUAGACAAAGACCAGCAGGGAACCAAUGACUCAUUUUUGUAGUACGCUGCAAGGCAAUCUGGCAAAUGAAAAGCUAAAUUCAAUUUUGAUUUUGUUAGAGAGAAGUACUUUUAUCAACAUUAAUUCUUAAACCUUUAUAUUUGAUACUGGAUAACACUCUGACUGUGUCAAAGAUGGCGGUCCUAAUGUCUUUACAUUUUGCGUUAAGAGAGACAGACUUCAGGACUUCCUGUGCAACAGCUAGCAGGCGAGACUGGGGAGCAUCUUCUCCCUCACAAGAACCAUCAGCACCGGCGCCCCCCAGGGGUGUUCUCUCCCCACUCCUCUUCCCCCUCUACACAAAUGACUGCACCUCAGCGGACCCAUCUGUGAAGCUCCUGAUGUUUGCAGAUGACACCACUGUUACUGGUCUGAUCCAGGACAGUGAUGAGUCUGCAUACAGACAUGAGGUAGAUUGGCUGGUCCACUGCAGUCAGAACCACCAGGAGCACUUGGACCGUUCAUUACUGCAGAGAUGACAGUGGACUUCCAGAGAGCUCCACUACACUCCCUCCCUUUAUGAUCCUCUACAACAUAGUGUCUACUCUUGGCUCAACUACAAACCGGACAGGUCCAAACUGCAAAGACCAAUCAGGUCUGCAGAGAUAGUCAUCAGGGCUGACCUUCCCUCUGUCCAGGACUUAUAAAGAUCUAAGGUCAGAUAAAAGGCAGCUAACAUCUCUGCAGACCCCACACAUCCUGGACACAAACUGUUUUGGCUUUUACCUUCAGGUGGCGCCACAGAUAGCUGUUAGCAGAAACCAGCUGCUGUCAGGGUCUGGGAGUAUGCAUGUUUUCUGUUUCUUGCCUGCUAUUUACUCUGCUUAGUCCAUAGGUGGCGUGGGAGCUCAUGAGCGCACAGGUGACAGGUGUGGCUGAUCCUUCUGAUUGCUGCUGGGAGCAUUUAAGCAGGAGGCUGCCAGUACUUCAACGCCUGAGUGUUAGCCAAUAGUGGAUGCUUUCAAGACCUGGCUCAGUUUUCAGUUCGUUCCUUAACUUCUGGAUCUACGAUUCAAGCCUCCAGUUACCUUCUUAAGACAAACUCCAAGCUAGCAGCUUCCUGGCUCUGUGAUCAACCAGCCACAAUCACAAGCGAACCUUGUUCACCCUCCAACAAGCUUCUGUGCAAGCCCCACCACCCAACGCACCACGCCACCUUCUUCACGCCACGGACUAAGCUCAACUGGACUUCCAGGAAACCUCCUUCAAGCAUCCAUAGACUAACCUACCUUGGAUAUUACCCUCUUCAGUUUCCUCUGGUCUCGUGCUCCCAGACUCCACAUCUCUCUUUCCCCCUGGCGGUUCAAUCAUCUCCUCCAUUGGUGAUUUACCAGUCCUGGUUCUCUCGCCAUUGCUCAUUCCUGUGAAAAUAAAUCUCUUACAAAUCUGUAAACUCUCCUGAGUGUAUUUCUGCAUGUGGGUCAGAUCCGUUUCUAGAAUUAUGACAGCCGCUGUUCUCCUCCAGGC